AGACCCAGGAAGGUGGAAGUUGUGUGAGCUGUGUGUCCUGCAGACAGUCUGCUCAGAGAAAGGAGACUUCCCCAGAGUCCUGACUGGCUUCGUAGGGAGCAGUUCCAGAGCAUCGCCCAGGAACUCCGUGACAAAAGCCGGCUCUACCCUUGUACGCGCUUGGUGGAGGGCAUGAGGACACUCAGGGCAUAUGUGUGGCCACAGUGGACACUGCUGGGAAAAAAGACCCUGGACUCAGGAGCCUAGUGGAAUGUGCAUAUGGACAACACAUGCUGAAGAACUCCAGUCACUGUCCAGGUACAUGGCAUGCUGAUAUGGCUGAGAGAAUAACCUUAACUGAAGAUAAAGAAAGACAUGCAUUCUCAAGAUACAACAAAUACUCUACAAUUAAGUGGUGCUGUAAAUGGAUCUUGAUCACACGUAGAAAUCCACAGCAAAACCCUUUUCCAUUUAUGAGUAUAGCAUUUAUUUGUGGACUCUUUUCCAGAAUGUAACAGUACAUUCUGCACCUUUAAUGAACAACUUUUCUCUAGCCCUCCCACAGUUCUAUUCCCCACACAGUUAAAUGAAGGGACUGAGGAUCUGGACAAUAGACCAUCCCAGUCUGUUGUGACAAGUGCGGUAGCAGUGGCGGAGGCUCCAUUAAUCCUUCUGGCAGAUGAAUCAAGUCCAGAUACCAUAGUUUUCUCAGACAUGCUGGCACUAUUAAAAGCACUCUGGCCUUAUCCUGUUGUUUGUUUAUCACUCUCUGUAUGAGGGGAAAUGGUUACAUUAAGCCCUGACACAAGUGUAUCAGAAACGCAUCCAAUGUUGAUUCCUUCUCUCUGCCUGCUCUGGAGCAAAAUUGUUGACGUUUCCUGUUGCUGCUGGAGGCAAACAGAUAUAUUAUCAGAUUCCCCCAUAAACUGGAGAGGUGUGUUAUUACUUCUUCCUUCACAGACCAUUUGUGCAUUUGACAUGUUAAUCUGCAAGCAUGUUUUGUUCCCCCAUGUGACAGGGUAUAAAACCCUUCAUUGGACAGCAGAGGAUUAAAGAGCAACUCUGGGCACAGGAGGCUCCACUCCUCCGCCCUCGCCAAGCAUGCUCCAACUGGAGGUGGGGUUGAAAAGGAAGCCAACCAGCCACUGGCUCCGUUGGGCCAGACAGGGUAGGGAGAAGGACCUGGUCUGGGAGCUCUGGACCAGGACGUAGCCAGUCCCAGGCUAGGAGAAGGAAUGUUGUUGAGCAGCAGCUCCUAUGGGUUGGAGACAGGUAGGCAGCGUGCGAACUGGUGCUUAUGUGAACACCUUGCAGCCCCCAGUGCAGGAAAAGGGGAGGUAGGAAGUAACCCAGAGAGGCUGAUUUGAGGCCCCUCAGGGUGCGAGGCACCAGACAAGUCUCACAGGGCCCUGGGUCGGAACCUAGUGGAGCAGGAGAGUCCAGGUUCCCCUA